CUAAAAAUGUGAAUUAAUCAUGUCAGCAAUCUCCAACCCUCCACCUUUAAAAUAAAAUGACGGUGUCAUCAAUGACAACAACGACAUCCAACAACAAAAUUUUUUUACUAAACCAACCAAUGAUUGGGUUAAAUAUUCAAUAAUUUGGGAUGAAUUUAGAAAAAUAGCCUAUAAUUAGGAUGGGUAACCACUUGAAAUUGGAAAAUUGGAAUAGGAAAAAGCUAAAGAUAAAAUUCUUAAUUUCCAUUAUUUAAUAGCUAAUUUCUAAAUCCCUAACAAAAUAACUUGCCUUCUCCACUCCGACAACCACCGGCCAUCAGCCCACCACCAUCAUCGUUCACCGGUCGGCAGUCACCAACGGUCCACCACACACCCACUAGUCACUGUCGCUUCCCUCAUCUCUUUUUAAUCUUCCCAUUGUCUCCUCAUUCAGAAAUCUGAAGCCUGGCCUUCCCACUGUUCGACGAUAUUCCUCAACUAGCAAAAGUAGAAGUUGAUUCAAUUGCAGACAUACUUGGUUGGUGGCGAGUUAAUUCUCAAAAGUUCCCUACACUUGGCUCACAAUGCCAGUAUUAGUUUCUGCACCACGCUUAGAUUUUAGUGCCAUGACCACGAAUCCAGCCGACUUGAACCCCGAGACCAUGGAAGCUUUGGUGAUGAAAAAUUCAAGAACCCACACAAACUACGGAUAAAAGAAAAAGGAAGAUGGACCAGGAGCAUAAUUAUCCGGUAAAGUAUUUCAAAUCUUUGAAUCUUGAAGAAACUAAAAGUAUCGAAGAUAUUGCCAAUGAUUCUAACAGCAAUGAUGAACCUGUUGGUGAAAAAGCAGAGAUCAAGGAAGCUUUGGUUUGCAAUCAAAAUAGGAUAGAAAUGUCACAUAAAGGUAAGUCCAUAUACUAUUUUAUCUAGUUCAAUUUUUUGAAAUUUUUUUUUUCUUUCACAUCUUGAGUUAAAUUUAAAAGGGAUGGAAACAGUGAGAGGUUGCAAAAAAUUGUAUCAUGGAGACACUAGUAGUGGUGACAAAUCCAGAGCUUCCAACAAAGUGGUAGGAAAUUGAAUGUUGAUUUUUAUCAUGUUUUUAUUUAUUUAAAGAAUAGAUGUUAUUAUUUCACUUGAAAUAAAAAAAAAGUGGGAACUCUUUCAAUACAGAA